AGGACCUAUAAAAGGCAACAACCCCCAGCCCAAUGGACAGAUGCCCCAGGCUGCACAUUCUGUCAGUGCUGUUCUUCAAGAGGCCCAGACACGUGCUGAAACAUGGAAGGAAACAAAGCCAGCCCUAUGGAAACACCAUGAGCGCGGAGCACCCAAGGCCCCACACGCCCCCAAAUCCAGCCUGCCCCCUCCCCAUCCAGUGCGGUGGUCCUCAGACACCAGUGGCAGCCCUGCCAUGCCCCCCAAGGCCAAGGGCACCAGCAGCAGGGGCUUCCCUACUCCAUCCAAUGACUUCCUGCCACUACCCCGACUCCUCCAGGCCACCACCUGGGGUCACCAAGACACCUUGUAUGUCCCCCAAGAGGCACAAAGCAUCAAUGUUCACAAGCGGCAAAUGAAUAAAAGUUAAACGUUCUUCCUGAA